rnacentral:rRNA from 1 species
UGGGGAAUCUUCCGCAAUGGACGAAAGUCUGACGGAGCAACGCCGCGUGAGUGAAGAAGGUUUUCGGAUCGUAAAACUCUGUCUUUUGGGGCGAACGUGAGUAUGGUGAACAAUCAUAGUCAGUGACGGUACCAAAGGAGGAAGCCACGGCUAACUACGUGCCAGCAGCCGCGGUAAUACGUAGGUGGCAAGCGUUGUCCGGAAUUAUUGGGCGUAAAGAGCGCGUAGGCGGGAUAGUCAGUCUGUUGUAAAAGUGCGGGGCUCAACCCCGUGAUCGCAAUGGAAACAGCUAUUCUUGAGUGCAGGAGAGGAAAGUGGAAUUCCCAGUGUAGCGGUGAAAUGCGUAGAUAUUGGGAGGAACACCAGUGGCGAAGGCGACUUUCUGGACUGUGUCUGACGCUGAGGCGCGAAAGCCAGGGGAGCGAACGGGAUUAGAUACCCCGGUAGUCCUGGCCUAAGCNAACGGAUGGACUAGGUGUGGGAGGUAUCGA